AUGAACGCUGGCGGCAUGCCUAAGACAUGCAAGUCGAACGAGGUAGUCCAAUGAAGACGGAGUGCUUGCACAAAGUUGGAUUGGGUUGCUACCUAGUGGCAGACGGGUGAGUAACACGUGGGUUACCUACCUUUAAGUUGGGGAUAACAGUUGGAAACGAUUGCUAAUACCGAAUUAGAUGUAACUUUUAUUUGUUAUAUUGAAAGGAGCUUUCAAGCUUCGCUUAGAGAUGGGCCUGCGGCGUAUUAACUUGUUGGUGGGGUAAUGGCCUACCAAGGUAACGAUGCGUAGCCGGACUGAGAGGUUGAUCGGCCACACUGGGACUGAGACACGGCCCAGACUCCUACGGGAGACAGCAGUUAGGAAUAUUCGUCAAUGGGGGAAACCCUGAACGAGCAAUGCCGCGUGAGUGAAUGAAGGUCUUUGGAUUGUAAAACUCUGUUGUAUGGAAAAAAUGAUUAGGUUAGGAAAUGAACUUAAUGUGAUGGUACCAUACCAGAAAGCCCCGGCUAACUACGUGCCAGCAGCAGC
rnacentral:rRNA from 1 species